UGAAAAAAAAGAAUUCUCCACAUAAAGAGUAAACCUAAGAAAUAUGGGAAAACUCUGCAAGAAGCAGUCAGGGGAUCCCUGCUGAAAGGGGUUCCUGCUGAGAGACAAUUUAUGCUGGGAAGGACCAGGUAAGAUCGUGGAUUCCUUGUGCAGAUAACCAGCAGAGGUUUUGAUCUUUAGAUUGAUCACACAGGUA